UACGUAGGGUGCGAGCGUUGUCCGGAAUUAUUGGGCGUAAAGGGCUCGUAGGCGGUCUGUUACGUCAGGAGUGAAAACUCGGGGCUCAACCCCGAGCCUGCUUCUGAUACGGGCAGACUGGAGGUAUGCAGGGGAGAACGGAAUUCCUGGUGUAGCGGUGAAAUGCGCAGAUAUCAGGAGGAACACCGGUGGCGAAGGCGGUCCUCUGGGCAUUACCUGACGCUGAGGAGCGAAAGUGUGGGGAGCGAACAGG
rnacentral:rRNA from 1 species